rnacentral:rRNA from 1 species
ACGGGAGGCAGCAGUGGGGGAUAUUGCACAAUGGGGGAAACCCUGAUGCAGCGACGCCGCGUGAGGGAAGACGGUCUUCGGAUUGUAAACCUAAGUUGUCAGGGACGAAACAAAUGACGGUACCUGAAGAGAAAGCUCCGGCUAACUACGUGCCAGCAGCCGCGGUAAUACGUAGGGAGCGAGCGUUGUCCGGAUUUACUGGGUGUAAAGGGUGCGUAGGCGGGCUUGCAAGUCAGGCGUGAAAUCCCGUGGCUUAACCACGGGGCUGCGCUUGAAACUGUAGGUCUUGAGUGAGGUAGAGGCAAGCGGAAUUCCCAGUGUAGCGGUGAAAUGCGUAGAUAUUGGGAAGAACACCAGUGGCGAAGGCGGCUUGCUGGGCCUUAACUGACGCUGAGGCACGAAAGCAUGGGGAGCAAACAGGAUUAGAUACCCUGGUA